CAGUAGCCGCGGUAACACGGAGGGUGCAAGCGUUAAUCGGAAUUACUGGGCGUAAAGCGCACGGAGGCGGUUUGUUAAGUCAGAUGUGAAAUCCCCGAGCUUAACUCGGGAACUGCAUUUGAAACUGGCAGGCUAGAGUCUCGUAGAGGGGGGUAGAAUUCCAGGUGUAGCGGUGAAAUGCGUAGAGAUCUGGAGGAAUACCGGUGGCGAAGGCGGCCCCCUGGACGAAGACUGACGCUCAGGUACGAAAGCGUGGGGAGCAAACAGGAUUAGAUACCCCUGUAGUCCCUGUCUCUUAUAC
rnacentral:rRNA from 1 species